GGGAUUCCCCGGUUCAAUCGAAUUCUCGAUUUUAUUCACGUUAUUCCUUGGUUUAAAUUGGUAUUGUCGGAGGUGCUAAUUCCUGCACCAACAGAAUUGAUCACCAAAAGCUUGUAAUUCGA
rnacentral:sRNA from 1 species